rnacentral:lncRNA from 1 species
UGGAUGGGCUCACAGUGGAUGGGCUCACAGUUGGAUUGGCUCACCAUGGAUGGGCUCACAGUGGAUGGGCUCACAGUUGGAUGGGCUCACAGUGGAUGGGAUCACAGUGGAUGGGCUCACAGCAGUCCUCUCACCUGGCUGCACAUCCAAUCACCUGGGUCCUCUUAUAUUUCCCAGGACUCCGUGGCACACCUGGCCCAUUAAAUCAGAAAGUUUGGGGUGAUGAGCCAGGCAUAAGUAUGUUUUAGGAUCCCUAAGUGGUUCCAGUGUGACUCAAACUUUGGGAACCAUGGGGCUACAGGACAGGAUAGAUUGUGGGCAGCCAGCCAGGACUCAACCAUGUUCAAAGCGCUUUCUUAUCCUUGCUGUCAUCGCCCGCUGAGGAGUCACACCAUUAUACCCAUUGUACCGAGGAGGAAAGUGAGGCCUACGGUGUUGCCACACCUCCUGAGACAGUCAUUGUUAAGGCUGGGACGAGAGCCCUGUCUCUGGACCCUCAAAGCUGACUCCUCCUACAUAGGCGCAGCUACAGAGGGCCCUUGGGAAUAGUCACAAAGAGACAAGGACCUGGACUUCCAGAGAUUGCAAGGUUCUGGGAGACAUGCCAACCUUUCCUGGGAGGAGGUUCUGACGGUGGCAGGGGUGGCAUAGCAAGAGCAUCCUUGAAGCCGGCAGCGAGGGCUUUGCACGCUGGGUGCAGGCCAGCACACUGAGCCAGCUCACACCUUGGCCCCAAGUGGGCCCUGGUUCCACCCCAGGAACUUGUUCAUCUGGCUUCAUCCAGUGGUGUGUGGGGAUCUGUUCCGGGACAGCCGGGCCCAGACAUCACCUCUUUAUCUAAGUCUUUCCUGGCCCUCCUCUGUUAACAAAAAGGCAGCUUAACAGGGAAUGGAAGGUUAACAGCAGCUUUCAACUUCCUCUAGGUCUGUGUUGGAAACAUGGCCAUUCACAUACAGCCCAAGGCACCAUUGGCAGGAAAAUCAGAGGGGCCCUCAGCAACUCUGGGGCUGGCUUAGCUCCCACCCAUUGCCCUAGUCCUCGAAGACUGUCAGCAGCCACCCGUCCAGCUCAUCCCCUCCCUCGUCUGUCUAUUUCAGAGGCCAGAGGAAGGCAGAGAAGAUGAGGAGACCAGCUAAGUUGCAUAGUGCAGAAUAAUGCACUGCCUUGCAGCCACCCAGACCAGAGUUCAAAUCCCAGCUCUGCUGUGUGCUCUUACUAGGUGAUCUUGGAGAAGCUGCCUGACCCCUCCAGGCCUUGGAACUCUAAUCUAUAAAAUGGUGGUGUUAAUAACCGUCAUCUCCAGUAUCUGUGACGCUGUGGGUUAAGUAACAUCCGCUCUGGCUGUGGGAUCCUAGACAUGUUAUUUUGCCUCCCUCUGCUUCAGUGAACCCAUCUUUAAAAUGGGAAUGAUAACUCUUACUCAUAGAGGUGGAGUAAGGAUUAAAUCCAUUAAAUGAAUCAAUCUACACAAAGUACUUAGAACAACAUCUGGCCUGUCCCAAGAGCUUGGCACACCCCCCACGCCCCACCUCCCUCCUGCGGUCAGGGGCCCCCUAGGCAGGGAUAGUCUCUUGGUGUCUCUUUCUUCUUAAGUGGAAGAUGGCCCCAGGACAGAGGGAGCAGCGAGGGCCUGGAUGCCCUGGAGGAGUGAAGAACCAUAGAGAUUGGUUUCCAAACUCAAAUAGUACUUAGUGAGCACCAGCCCUGUGCCAGGCACCGGGCUGGACACGCUGGCAGCAUUUCCUCUGAUCCAAGUGCAACCCUGAGGGGCACGGUUCCCAGCAUUUCUGGAGGGGAACCCAAGAGUCAGAGAUGUCAGGGACAGCCAACUGCCCUUGGAGAAGCGGAAUAGAAGGAAUUCGAAACCAUGACCUGUGACUCUGUGUCCCCUAUUCUGCCUUCAUCAUGCCACGCUCUUCAUGUCUCAAAUAGAAGUUCCUGCAGAGGAGGUGUCAGGCUCAGCGAGCAAAGCUGGGCCCUGUGGAAUCACUGAAUAGCAGAUUUCAAGUCACUAUAAGCACCCUGUCUAACAGUCCAAGCUUCCCCAAGCUGAGAAGUGCUGCCUUAGGGGGAAUGGGCCCCCUGUCCCCAGUCGUGGCAUCUCAGAAGCUCUUCCUGGCUCCCUGGAUUGGUGUGAGUUCCCUGCUAGGUCAUCCCACCCUAGAGUUCAUCACACUGUGUGGUAACUGAUGGAUCACAGUUACAGUCUGAAAGAGCUUCACUCUCCUAGCGGCAGCAGACCUGGAAUGUCCCAGUGCUGUGGGAAGCCGGCUCAGCGCCUGAGAGUCUCCAUGCUGCACGACCUGGGAAGUGAGCGCCCUUUGAAGGGAAUCACAGCCAAAUCAGUUUUCCCUGUUUGUAAAAUGGGGUGCAGAGCUGAGGAGAGUUGGCUAUCAUCACACUCCCUGCAGAGCAGUGGGCAGCUGACUGGGAAGCCCCGACACAGGCAAAAAACUCAAGGCCUAAAGGAGUGAAAUAGAAGAUCCAGGACCUGGGUGGCUUGAUAAGGAGACAUGAGCACCAAGCUUGUGGUCAGAAGAAGUGGAUUCAAGAGCUAGACAGUUUAGAGAGAUGUUGACAAUAACGCCAGAAACCCAGGCUGAGAACAAUAACCUUGGUGGGCACAGAUGCUCCCUCUUAGCUGUGGGCUUAGGGGCAGUGAAGGCCCCAUUAUCAGGCUGAGGAGACCAACCAAGCUUGCAUGCAGACGCUCUCCGUUCCUGGGCCGGAUCCCGGGAGACCCUGGCAUACAGGGCUUUCUUUCAGGCAGUAACCAACACUGGGGGCUCAGGCCACAGGCACGCCUCACUCAGCUCUCCCCCGCCCUUGCUGCCUCAGGGGCUGGGAGGACAGAAAGCUCCUUGCGGGCAGGCACUUCCCCAGGAAAGGCAGACCGGUGGAGUCUGGAUGCAGAGCUUUCUGCCAACAGAACUUCCCACGGGCAGCCUGAAAUGAGCAGCAAUUACACGUGGCCUCUAGGGCCACAUUUGAUAAGAAGAGCUGCAAUUUACUGUGUCCCUACUAUGUACGAAGCACGUUAAAUUUGUUAUUUACUUAGCAACUAUUCUCUGAGUGCCUUGAAGUGCCAGGCCCUGGCUGGGGACCAGGGGUACAUGGCCCCUGCCCCUAUG